GGCACGCCUAACACAUGCAAGUCGAACGCAGUAGCAAUACUGAGUGGCAGACGGGUGAGUAUAAUGUGGGAAUCUGCCUUUUGGUUUGGAAUAACACGGGGAAACUUGUGCUAAUACCGAAUAAGCCUUUACAGGGAAAGUUUUAACGCCGAAAGAUGAGCCCGCACUUGAUUAGCUAGUUGGUAAGGUAAAAGCUUACCAAGGCAACGAUCAAUAGCUGUUCUUAGAGGAAGACCAGCCACAUUGGGACUGAGACACGGCCCAGACUCCUACGGGAGGCAGCAGUGGGGAAUCUUGCACAAUGGGGGAAACCCUGAUGCAGCGAUGCCGCGUGAGUGAAGAAGGCCCUUGGGUUGUAAAACUCUUUCGUCGGGGAAGAAAAUGACUGUACCCGAAUAAGAAGGUCCGGCUAACUUCGUGCCAGCAGCCGCGGUAAUACGAAGGGACCUAGCGUAGUUCGGAAUUACUGGGCUUAAAGAGCUCGUAGGUGGUUAAAAAAGUUGAUGGUGAAAUCCCAAGGCUUAACCUUGGAACUGCCAUCAAAACUUUUUAGCUAGAGUGUGAUAGAGGUAAGUGGAAUUUCUAGUGUAGAGGUGAAAUUCGUAGAUAUUAGAAAGAACACCAAAUGCGAAGGCAACUUACUGGGUCACUACUGACACUGAGGAGCGAAAGCAUGGGUAGCGAAGAGGAUUAGAUACCCUCGUAGUCCAUGCCGUAAACGAUGUGUGCUAGACGUUGGAAAUAUAUUUUUCAGUGUCGCAGCGAAAGCAUUAAGCACACCGCCUGGGGAGUACG
rnacentral:rRNA from 1 species